rnacentral:rRNA from 1 species
UACAGAGGUCUCGAGCGUUGUUCGGAUUCAUUGGGCGUAAAGGGCGCGUAGGCGGCGGGGUAAGUCUGGUGUGAAAUCUCGGAGCUCAACUCCGAAAUUGCACUGGAUACUGCUCUGCUAGAGGGCUGGAGAGGAGAUCGGAAUUCACGGUGUAGCAGUGAAAUGCGUAGAUAUCGUAAGGAAGACCAGUGGCGAAGGCGGGUCUCUGGACAGUUCCUGACGCUGAGGCACGAAGGCCAGGGGGAGCAAACGGGG